GGCCUUGACAUACUAAGAACUUUCCAGAGAUGGAUUGGUGCCUUCGGGAACUUAGAUACAGGUGCUGCAUGGCUGUCGUCAGCUCGUGUCGUGAGAUGUUGGGUUAAGUCCCGNAACGAGCGCAACCCUCUUCCUUAUUUGCCAGCGGGUAAUGCCGGGAACUUUUAAGGAUACUGCCAGUGACAAACUGGAGGAAGGCGGGGACGACGUCAAGUCAUCAUGGCCCUUACGGCCAGGGCUACACACGUGCUACAAUGGUCGGUACAAAGGGUUGCUACCUCGCGAGAGGAUGCUAAUCUCAAAAAGCCGAUCGUAGUCCGGAUCGCAGUCUGCAACUCGACUGCGUGAAGUCGGAAUCGCUAGUAAUCGCGGAUCAGAAUGCCGCGGUGAAUACGUUCCCGGGCCUUGUACACACCGCCCGUCACACCAUGGGAGUUUGUUGCACCAGAAGUAGGUAGUCUAACCGCAAGGAGGACGCUUACCACGGUGUGGCCGAUGACUGGGGUGAAGUCGUAACAAGGUAGGCGUAGAUGA
rnacentral:rRNA from 1 species